rnacentral:rRNA from 1 species
UACGAAGGUGGCAAGCGUUACUCGGAAUUACUAGGCGUAAAGCGCAGGUAGGCGGUUCGAUAAGUCUUUUGUGAAAGCUCCCGGCUUAACUGGGAGAGGUCAAGAGAAACUGUCGAGCUAGAGUGUGGUAGAGGAAACUGGAAUUCCCGGUGUAGCGGUGAAAUGCGUAGAUAUCGGGAGGAAUACCUAUGGCGAAAGCAGGUUUCUGGGCCAUCACUGACGCUGAGCUGCGAAAGCUAGGGGAGCAAACAGG